UACGUAGGUGGCAAGCGUUGUCCGGAAUUAUUGGGCGUAAAGCGCGCGCAGGUGGUUCCUUAAGUCUGAUGUGAAAGCCCACGGCUCAACCGUGGAAGGUCAUUGGAAGCUGGGGAACUUGAGUACAGAAGAGGAAAGUGGAAUUCCAAGUGUAGCGGUGAAAUGCGUAGAUAUUUGGAGGAACACCAGUGGCGAAGGCGACUUUCUGGUCUGUAACUGACACUGAGGCGCGAAAGCGUGGGGAGCAAACAGG
rnacentral:rRNA from 1 species